AAAACUGUCUCUAGUCUUUGCUAGCUUUUUAACUUUAAGAUUAAGUUCUCUGAGCCUCAGUUUUCCCAUCUAUAAAAUGGAGAGAAUAACAGAACUACCCUCAGAAGACUAUUGGAUGGAUUCAAGGAGAUAAGCCACAUAAAGUGCAUAUCCCAGAGCCUAGCACAGAGUAGGCACUCAAAAAACUUUAUAAUUGCUAAGCAUCAGGGCCUGUGACUUACUUCAUUUUCAGUACUAGACCUAGGAGGAAAAGCCACAAUCCCUGUUCUCUUGGGUGAGGCUGUCAUGACAUUUUCUCUCAUCUGUUUAACCACAGGAUGGUGUGAGAAGCUUACUCCUCCUGAAUCCCAGCCAGGACCAACUAGACAUUUGGUUGAAGAUGGACGGUGUGUUAAAGAAGUGGAUGGCAUAUAGAAGCAUGGAUUCUGGACAUGGCUGUGCCACUAAGUACAGAAGUAACAUGAAAACUCAAAGAAGGAGUUUGCCAAAUAAAUGUGGAACAAGGUGAAAAGAAGAAAGAAAA
rnacentral:lncRNA from 12 species